GAAAUGCGAUAAGUAAUGUGAAUUGCAGAAUUCAGUGAAUCAUCGAAUCUUUGAACGCACAUUGCGCCCGCUGGUACUCCGGCGGGCACGCCUGUCCGAGCGUCAUUUCAACCCUCAAGCCCUCCUUCGGGAUGGGCCUGGUGUUGGGGCUCGGCCGCCAUCUCCGGCGGCCGUCCCCUAAAUACAGUGGCGGUCACGUCGCGACUCCUUUGCGUAGUAGAAACACCUCGCUCCGGAUAGCAACGCGGUCCACGCCGUAAAACCCCCAAUUUUCAAUGGUUGACCUCGGAUCAGGUGGGAAUACCCGCUGAACUUAA
rnacentral:misc_RNA from 1 species